AACGAACGCUGGCGGCAUGCCUAACACAUGCAAGUCGAACGAGACCUUCGGGUCUAGUGGCGCACGGGGGCGUAACGCGGGGGAACCUGCCCUUAGGUUCGGAAUAACUCCCCGAAAGGGGGGCUAAAACCGGAUAAUGUCUUCGGACCAAAGAUUUAUCGCCUUUGGAUGGGCCCGCGUUGGAUUAGCUAGUUGGUAGGGUAACAGCCUACCAAGGCGACGAUCCAUAGCUGGUCUGAGAGGAUGAUCAGCCACAAUGGGACUGAGACACGGCCCAGACUCCUACGGGAGGCAGCAGUGGGGAAUAUUGGCCAAUGGGCGAACGCCUGAUCCAGCAAUGCCGCGUGAGUGAUGCAGGCCUUAGGGUUGUAAAGCUCUUUUACCCGGGAUGAUAAUGACAGUACCGGGAGAAUAAGCUCCGGCUAACUCCGUG
rnacentral:rRNA from 1 species